UACGGAGGAGGCAAGCGUUAUCCGGAAUUAUUGGGCGUAAAGCGUCCGUAGGUGGUUGGCCAAGUCUGCUGUCAAAGGGUGGGGCUUAACCUCAUAAAGGCAGUGGAAACUGGCGAGCUAGAGUGCGGUAGGGGUAGGGGGAAUUCCCAGUGUAGCGGUGAAAUGGGUAGAGAUUGGGAAGAACAUCGGUGGCGAAAGCGCCCUGCUGGGCCUGCACUGACACUGAGGGACGAAAGGUAGGGGAUCGAAAGGG
rnacentral:rRNA from 1 species